rnacentral:tRNA from 1 species
GUCCUCGUAGCUCAACGGAUAGAGCAGCAGCGUCCUAAGCUGUUGAUGGGGGUUCGAUUCCCUCCGGGGACACCA